CGAAAGCCUGACGGAGCAACGCCGCGUGAGGGACGAAGGCCUCUGGGCUGUAAACCUCUUUUCUCAAGGAAGAAGAUAUGACGGUACUUGAGGAAUAAGCCACGGCUAAUUCCGUGCCAGCAGCCGCGGUAAUACGGGAGUGGCAAGCGUUAUCCGGAAUUAUUGGGCGUAAAGCGUCCGCAGGCGGCUUUUCAAGUCUGCUGUUAAAGCGUGGAGCUUAACUCCAUCAUGGCAGUGGAAACUGAAAGGCUUGAGUAUGGUAGGGGCAGAGGGAAUUCCCGGUGUAGCGGUGAAAUGCGUAGAUAUCGGGAAGAACACCAGUGGCGAAUGUGCUCUGCUGGGCCAUUACUGACGCUCAUGGACGAAAGCCAGGGGAGCGAAAG
rnacentral:rRNA from 1 species